rnacentral:rRNA from 1 species
UACGUAGGGUGCAAGCGUUGUCCGGAAUUAUUGGGCGUAAAGAGCUCGUAGGCGGUCUGUUGCGUCGGCUGUGAAAACCCGAGGCUCAACCUCGGGCCUGCAGCCGAUACGGGCAGACUAGAGUUCGGCAGGGGAGACUGGAAUUCCUGGUGUAGCGGUGAAAUGCGUAGAUAUCUGGAGGAACACCGGUGGCGAAGGCGGCAUCCUGGACCGGUAUUGACGCUGAGGCGCGAAAGCUAGGGGAGCAAACGGG